AGCGAACGCUGGCGGCAGGCCUAACACAUGCAAGUCGAACGCACCUUCGGGUGAGUGGCGGACGGGUGAGUAACACGUGGGAACGUACCUUUUGGUUCGGAACAACACAGGGAAACUUGUGCUAAUACCGGAUGAGCCCUAUGGGAGAAAGAUUUAUCGCCGAAAGAGCGGCCCGCGUUAGAUUAGCUAGUUGGUGGGGUAAAGGCCCACCAAGGCUCCGAUCUAUAGCUGGUCUGAGAGGANGAUCAGCCACACUGGGACUGAGACACGGCCCAGACUCCUACGGGAGGCAGCAGUGGGGAAUCUUGCGCAAUGGGCGAAAGCCUGACGCAGCCAUGCCGCGUGAAUGAUGAAGGUCUUAGGAUUGUAAAAUUCUUUUAGCAGGGACGAUAAUGACGGUACCUGCAGAAAAA
rnacentral:rRNA from 1 species